UUAAGCUAUAAAGGGCGUAGGACGGAUGCCUUGGCACCAAGCGCCGAUGAAGGACGUGACAAGCUGCGAUAAGCCACGGGGAGUUGCAAAUGAACUUUGAUCCGUGGAUUUCCGAAUGAGGAAACUCACAUAUGGUAAUGCAUAUGUAACCAUACAUGAAUACAUAGUGUAUGGUGGGGAACCCGGGGAACUGAAACAUCUAAGUACCCGGAGGAAAAGAAAGAAAACAAUCGAUUUCCUGAGUAGUGGUGAGCGAAAGGGAAAGAGCCUAAACGUUUGUAUAGUGAUAUAUAAACGGGUUACGGACCCCAUAACGUACUGAUUUUUGUAGUUGAACACAGUUGGAAAGCUGGGCGAAACAGAGUAAAAGCCUCGUAGGCGAAACCGAAAUCAGACCGGGGGUAUCCAGAGUAUCACAGGACACGAGAAAUCCGGUGGGAAGACAGGAGGACCAUCUCCUAAGGCUAAAUACGACUUGGUGACCGAUAGAGUAUAGUACCGUGAGGGAAAGGUGAAAAGAACCCCGGGAGGGGAGUGAAAGAGAACCUGAAAUCCUAUGCUUACAAGCAGACAUAGCACUACUUGAAAGUGUGAUGUCGUACUUUUUGUAGAACGGGCCGGCGAGUUACGAUGUGUAGCGAGGUUAAGUGAUUAAGUCACGGAGCCGAAGCGAAAGCGAGUUUGAAAUGAGCGAUAGUUGCAUGUCGUAGACCCGAAACCAGAUGACCUAUUCAUGGACAGGUUGAAGCAGCGGUAAGACGCUGUGGAGGACCGAACCCACGUUCGUUGAAAAGACCGGGGAUGAGCUGUGAAUAGCGGAGAAAUUCCAAACGAAUCUGGAGAUAGCUGGUUCUCCUCGAAAUAGCUUUAGGGCUAGCCUCUCGUUAGUGUACCGAAGGUAGAGCACUGUAUGAGCUAGGGGGCUUCACGGCUUACUGAACUCUAACAAACUUCGAAUGACGGAUACAUGAUGCGAGGGAGUCAGACAGUGUGAGAUAAGUCUCAUUGUCAAAAGGGAAACAGCCCAGACCUACAACUAAGGUCCCAAAGUACAAGUUAAGUGGUAAAGGAUGUGUCGACGCUAAAACAACCAGGAUGUUGGCUUAGAAGCAGCCACUCAUUUAAAGAGUGCGUAAUAGCUCACUGGUCGAGUAUCGGUGCGCCGAAGAUUAUCGGGGCUAAAACUUGUCACCGAAGUUUAGGGAUAUGCGAUUGCAUAUCGGUAGAGGAGCAAUGUGUACGGGCAGAAGCUGUAUCGAAAGGGGCAGUGGACUGUACACAAGAGAGAAUGCCGGCAUAAGUAGCGAGAGCAAAGUGAGAAACUUUGCCGUCGAAAGCCUUAGGUUUCCUGGGGAAGGUUCGUCCUCCCAGGGUAAGUCGGGACCUAAGCCGAGGCCGAAAGGCGUAGGUGAUGGACAACAGGUAGAUAUUCCUGUACCACCGACAGUCGUCUAAAUGAAGCAAUGACACAGAAGGACAGUCAAACCGCGUUGAUGGAUAUAUGCGGCCAAAUCAUUAGGCUUAUGUGUAGUGAAGUACGCACAUAGUUAAGGCUGAGUGAUGAUGGGGAGUGAAAACUAGUAAUGAAGUUGAUGAUUCCACGCUGGCGAGAAAAGUUGCUAAAUAUGACUGAAGGUGCCCGUACCGCAAACCGACACAGGUAGGUGAGGAGAAAAUCCUAAGACGAGCGGGAUAACCCAUGUUAAGGAACUCUGCAAAAUCACCCCGUAACUUAGGGAGAAGGGGUACCACGCAAGUGGUCGCAGUGAAGAGGCCCAAGCGACUGUUUACCAAAAACACAGGUCUCUGCUAAAUCGUAAGAUGAAGUAUAGGGGCUGACGCCUGCCCAGUGCUGGAAGGUUAAGGGGAUGUGUUAGCGCAAGCGAAGCACGGAACUUAAGCCCCAGUGAACGGCGGCCGUAACUAUAACGGUCCUAAGGUAGCGAAAUUCCUUGUCAGGUAAG
rnacentral:rRNA from 1 species